rnacentral:rRNA from 1 species
AAUCAACGCUGGCGGCGUGCCUCAGACAUGCAAGUCGAACGCGAAAGUCCCCUUCGGGGGACAAGUAGAGUGGCGCACGGGUGAGUAACACGUAGGUAAUCUACCUUUGGAUGGGGAAUAACAACCGGAAACGGUUGCUAAUACCGCAUAAUGCAGCGGCACCUAAUGGUGACAGUUGUUAAAGCGGGGGAUCGAAAGACCUCGCGUCUGAAGAGGAGCCUGCGGCGGAUUAGCUAGNGGUAAGGUAAUGGCUUACCAAGGCUACGAUCCGUAACCGGCCUGAGAGGGCGGUCGGUCACACUGACACUGACAUACGGGUCAGACUCCUACGGGAGGCAGCAGUCGGGAAUUUUGGGCAAUGGGCGAAAGCCUGACCCAGCAACGCCGCGUGAAGGAUGAAAUCCCUCGGGAUGUAAAC